rnacentral:rRNA from 1 species
GACGAACGCUGGCGGCGUGCCUAAUACAUGCAAGUUGAGCGCUGAAGGUUGGUACUUGUACCCACUGGAUGAGCAGCGAACGGGUGAGUAACGCGUGGGGAAUCUGCCUUUGAGCGGGGGACAACAUUUGGAAACGAAUGCUAAUACCGCAUAAAAACUUUAAACACAAGUUUUAAGUUUGAAAGAUGCAAUUGCAUCACUCAAAGAUGAUCCCGCGUUGUAUUAGCUAGUUGGUGAGGUAAAGGCUCACCAAGGCGAUGAUACAUAGCCGACCUGAGAGGGUGAUCGGCCACAUUGGGACUGAGACACGGCCCAAACUCCUACGGGAGGCAGCAGUAGGGAAUCUUCGGCAAGGGACGAAAGUCUGACCGAGCAACGCCGCGUGAGUGAAGAAGGUUGUCGGAUCGUAAAACUCUGUUGGUAGAGAAGAACGUUGGUGAGAGUGGAAAGCUCAUCAAGUGACGGUAACUACCCAGAAAGGGACGGCUAACUACGUG